UUGAGGACAGGAGUUCGAGACCAGCCUUGGCAAUAUGGCAAAACUCGUAUCUCUAGUAAAAUACAAAAAAUACAGUUCCCUAUUGUGCUGUGCCUCAGUGGCCUCCUGUGUAGGGUAGAGGUAGCAAUAGCACCCACCCCAUAGAUGACAAUACAAGUACCUCUCCUAAAAUGUGCCUGGAACAUAGGAAGCACCCAGUAAAUGUGAGCUGCCAGCAGCACAACCAGCGGUACCAUACCAGAGGCCAAAAGUCAGUAGACCAGGACCUUUGAUUGCUGUUUCUCUUGGAGGUGGUGCAGGAGGUUAAAGAAAGCACCUCUGAUGAGCAGAUAGCUGGAGGCUGUUCCCAAGAUCAUGUCUCAGUGAAGAAGUUGGAGUCCAGCAGCCAUCAGAACCAAGCGAGAAGGAACCUGGAUGGGAUUCUAAAAAGGAGAUGCCCGGAACCACCCUCCUUACUUCCAGAAUGACUGCCUUCCUCAAAAGCCAGAGGACCAGAGGCUCAGCAGGGGAACCCUCCAAGCCCUACUGAAGCCCAGGGACAUCUGCAUAGGAAGAAUAACAUCAUGAACCACCAGUGCCGAGAAGGAACUCUCAGCAGGUUAACUGCACCAGCACCCACUGAAGUUCGGUGAGGCCAAGGGCCAAGGCUUGCCAAGAGCUGUCAGUCUUUCCUUCUACAGAUGCCUCUGGGCUCUGAGCUGCUCCUCCUGCAGCAGGGAUGGCUGAACUGAGCCAGCCACACUCUCCUUCUGUCAGGCCCUCUAUGCCCACUACUUUGGGGGAUGGAGGAUUAGGAAGGCUAUUGGAGGCUGAGAACUAAAGUUUCUUUUAGUGUGGGUGUGGUGGCUCAUGCCUGUAAUCCCAGCGUUUUGAGAGGCUGAGGCAGGAGGAUUGCUGGA